GGACGAUCAGCCACACUGGGACUGAGACACGGCCCAGACUCCUACGGGAGGCAGCAGUAGGGAAUCUUGCGCAAUGGGCGAAAGCCUGACGCAGCAACGCCGCGUGGGGGAUGAAGGCCUUCGGGUUGUAAACUCCUUUUAGUGGGAACGAAAUUGACGGUACCCACAGAAAAAGCCCCGGCUAACUACGUGCCAGCAGCCGCGGUGAUACGUAGGGGGCGAGCGUUGUCCGGAUUUACUGGGCGUAAAGAGCUCGUAGGCGGUUUAGUAAGUCGGGUGUGAAACCUCUAGGCUUAACCUAGAGACGCCACUCGAAACUACUAUGACUAGAGUCUGGUAGGGGACCAUGGAAUUCCUGGUGUAGCGGUGAAAUGCGCAGAUAUCAGGAGGAACACCAGUAGCGAAGGCGGUGGUCUGGGCCAGUACUGACGCUGAGGAGCGAAAGCGUGGGGAGCGAACAGGGUUAGAUACCCUGGUAGUCCACGCCGUAAACGGUGGGCACUAGGUGUGGGACCCUAUCGACGGGUUCCGUGCCGCAGCUAACGCAUUAAGUGCCCCGCCUGGGGAGUACGGCCGCAAGGCUAAAACUCAAAGGAAUGA
rnacentral:rRNA from 1 species